rnacentral:rRNA from 1 species
GACGAACGCUGGCGGCGUGCUUAACACAUGCAAGUCGAACAGAAAGGCCUGCUUUCCCUUGUGGAUUGCGGGUACUCGAGUGGCGAACGGGUGAGUAACACGUGAGUGAUCUGCCCCCAACUUGGGUAUAAGCCUGGGAAACUGGGUCUAAUUCCCGAUAGGACUGCAGGGUGGUGCCUGUGGUGGAAAACGAUUUUCUAGUGGUUGGGGAUGAGCUCGCGGCCUAUCAGCUUGUUGGUGGGGUAAUGGCCUACCAAGGCGGCGACGGGUAGCCGGCCUGGGAGGGUGGACGGGCACAUUGGGACUGAGAUACGGCCCAGACUACUACGGGAGGCAGCCGUGGGGAAUAUUGCACAAUGGGCGGAAGCCUGAUGCAGCGACGCCGCGUGGGGGAUGACGGCCUUCGGGUUGUAAACUCCUUUCGACCGCGAGGAAGCCACCUGGUUGGAAGGGUGGUGACGGUAGUGGUAGAAGAAGCACCGGCUAACUACGUG